GGUUUAAUUACUGAACCACUAUACCAGUACCCUAACCGGAUUGAUAACCAGUAUGUAACCCUCAAGGAUUGUCUUCAUUUAGUGCCAAGCUAUGUUGUUAAACACUUAAACCUCCGACAUGGUUGGUCCAUUACCAUUACGCUGUCACUUUUCAAUAUUGCAGUAUCCGAUACGGAAUAAAUUGACCGCAAGACCGUUGGACCUAAAAAUGCCAUAAAUGUGAAUUAGUACUAUACAUGACUCAGUUUUUUCUUACAUUUAUGACCUAUCUUUCCUUCGUUGAAAAAUGAGGGCGCACCCACAUCUAUGACCCUGAUAUUUGACUUGCUUAAUUAGUUCAUUUUCCAUUUUCAUCAUAAAUGCUUAAUGCAAGAGAUUUUUUUUUAAGGAAACAAGGCAAAGAAAAUCAUAUUUGUUAAGAUUAGCUAGCAAAUUACUACUAUGAUGAAUCUUUUGGUGGCAACAUUAACUGUUACACAUAACGAGAUGGUGACCUUUUCUUUGGUCUAAUCUCAAUUUAUUAGCAGAAUAAGAAACUACCCCAUCUCAAUUUAUUAGCAGAAUAAAAUAGUUUUAUAAAAAUAGGAGAGGCUGAAAAGCUGAAAAGCUGAAAAGCUGAAAAGUAUGGGCAACCCAACCAUAAUGACAUUCAGAAUUUGGUCCACCUCAAGCUAUUUUUAUUUGGUGUGA